GUUUUGGAUACGGUUCUGUUGUGUAUCUGUCAGUGGGGUGUUAAGUAUGGAUACGUUUGAGAUAUUGUUACCGCAGCACGCGUGUUGCACGACGGCUUCCACUAUAUUGCGAUUCCUCUUCUGAAUUGAAAUCUAGGGUUUGCCUGCGUCCAACAAAGUUUGUAGUUUGAGCCGUCCGUCCAAGCGACAGAAAGGAAAUUGGGUUAUCCUUGCCCAGCAGCCCUCGGUUUGGGAUCUAGAACCCAUCGGUUUUGUCAUGUUCUUGAGGGUGGAUGUUGAAACCGGGAGGAAGCGCGGCCACGAUCACGAUUCGCGGUUCCGAAGCCAAAACAGUCGAGGGGCUUUCGGAUCUACAACCCCUAAUUCAGAGCCGUUGUGUCGAAGAGCUUAUCAUCCAUGCAAGUAGAUAAGCCACAGAACUUGGGUGGGAAUCGCGAGGAUUUCGACUCAUCUAUUCUCUCCUAUUAUUUGGGUUUUGGAAGGCAAUCGGUGAUUCUGAAUAUCGGUUAUGCGGAUAUGAGGCAUGGAAGCCUGCGAUUCCAAUUCAGAUUUGCCUUUUUUGAAAUCCUUAAUCACAACCUCAGCUCAUUAUUCCCCACACAGCCACCGACUCCUCACUUGAUUCGGAGUUGGGGAAGAAGCUAUGGAUGCUCGAGUGUCCUGGAAUUUUGAUUCCCAAUCCUCACUGCACCGAGGUUGUCCUGUUGAAAAGCUAAAACUGGCAAAUAUUAGAGGUCUAGCAGUGCAUGUCAUGUCUAUGAGUUACGAGCUUGCAUAGUUGCAGAAUAUGAUGGUUGCCAUGGAUGGAAGUCCCAAUUUGGAGGAUCAUACACCUCUCUCUUUAUGCCCAAGAGAAUGCCUGUAGUAUGCCAAUUGUCUCUUGUUCACUAAUUCACUAUGGCUGUAAGUUAUUGUGCCUUCAAAUCUCUUAAUGUCUUUUGGCCUGAAAAUAUCCGGCCACUUGUUCUCUAGGGACAGAUUUGAAUUGACAUUCAACAAUAUAUGGAUUAAUGAUGUCUGCUAGUCAGCCGUAAACUUCAUUGAGACUAUUGUGUUGGUUCGUUGCUUCAUAACUAUUUUGGUAACAAACGGGUCUGAUAUGGUUAUCCUUCAUGAAACAUUUGGAAUCUUAGGAUGUUUCCAAUUGAAAGUAUUAGUUUUUUUUUUU